rnacentral:rRNA from 1 species
AGAGUUUGAUCAUGGCUCAUAAUGAACGCUGGCGGCAGGCCUAACACAUGCAAGUCGAACGAUAACAGAAAGAAGCUUGCUUCUUUGCUGACGAGUGGCGGACGGGUGAGUAACGCGUGGGAAUCUACCCUUUAGUUGGGGACAACAUAUGGAAACGUAUGCCAAUACCGAAUAUGCUCUACGGAGUAAAGGUGCCCUCUCCUUGGAAGGUAUCGCUAAAGGAUGAGCCCGCGUUAGAUUAGCUAGUUGGUAAGGUAAAAGCUUACCAAGGCGACGAUCUAUAGCUGGUUUGAGAGGAUGAUCAGCCACACUGGGACUGAGACACGGCCCAGACUCCUACGGGAGGCAGCAGUGGGGAAUAUUGCACAAUGGAGGAAACUCUGAUGCAGCCACGCCGCGUGUGUGAAGUAGGCCCGAGGGUUGUAAAGCACUUUCAAUUGUGAGGAAGAUAAUGUAGUUAAUACCUGCAUUGUUUGACGUUAACUUUAGAAGAAGCACCGGCUAACUCUGUGCCAGCAGCCGCGGUAAUACAGAGGGUGCAAGCGUUAUUCGGAAUUACUGGGCGUAAAGCGCGCGUAGGCGGACUGUUAAGUUGGAUGUGAAAGCCCUGGGCUCAACCUAGGAACUGCAUUCAAAACUGGCAAUCUAGAGUUUAAGAGAGGGAAGGGGAAUUCCAGGUGUAGCAGUGAAAUGCGUAGAUAUCUGGAGGAACAUC